CAAAAAAUAUUUGAAUUAAAAUUUCAAUGUGGAGUGCAAAUUUAAGACAAAUAUGACAUUUCAAAUAUACAAACAUUGUGAUAUUGCAAAUGGGUUUCCAAGAAUGGCUGCCCUGCAGCUGUUCGGACUGUUAUAGCUGCAAUCUAUAGAGACAAAAUAAUGUAGAAGCCGCAACCGCAGUCGCAUUAAAGCCACAGCAAGCCGCAGUCGCAUUAAAGCCACAGCAAGCCCUAGCUGCAGUCGGAUUAAAGCCGCAGCGAACAUGCAUGCAAAAGCUUUGCAAAUCCUAGAGUUUUUGUUGCUCCCAUGCAUGCAAAAGUUGGGUCACACUAGCAUGGUUGAACCAUCAAAGGCGAUAUAUGAGUGACGGUAGGUAUGAUUGUAAGAUUAAUAACUGAUUCUCACUUUGUGUGUACUCAGUCCGAAACACCAUAUUAAAGGUAUGUUUGUUUCCUUUAUAGUUUAUAUAAGUUAAAUUAUGGUGAAAGAGUAUGCAGGUAAAAUAUCCCUUUUAGACCAUAAAUAAGUUAACAUUGGAUAGUUUAUUUUAGCUUAUUUAUAAUCACCAAGUGAUAUUUUAUCCUCCUACACUUCCACCAUAAUCCAGCUUAUAAAAUCUAGGAGCUUAUCUCUACUAACUAUUAAGAUGUUAGUGUAGACUGCCCCCGCCCUCCUCUCCGCGCGUGCUCCCCUCCCCCCUGGACCGUAAGCCGGCAGUGGCGGCCGCAUGACCGCCCCCCGCAAACCCCUCCCCCUGCAUUCCUCCCCGUCCUCGCCUCGUGCGCUCCGCCCGUCGCUCCUGAACGCCCCGUCUCUAUACCACCGAAGGCGAGGAGGGGGCCAAGGACGAGCGCCUUUUCAUGCCCGCUGGCCAUUGCCGCUGCUCACGAGCCUCCCGCCUCGCGCUGCCCUGCCCUCUACGGAUCUGCCCCAGGAGAGCCAGACAGCCAGGUAAAGGAGCCGUCAAAGCCCCCGCCGAGGAGAGCACGCAAGGUUGGUUUGACCACGGUUGAAGGAAUAUGAUACUGCUACCGAGACAUGAGAGACUAUGCACGAGGCAUGCAAAUUAACAAGACUCAUACAAGCGCGGAACAGUGUGCUGAUGGGGCAUAAAGGUAACACAUACUAGGUCUUAACAUAUUUGGCUUCUGAGUAAACUUUCUCCAGACCCCAAGGAAAUAUAAGAUCCGAUUAGAUA